rnacentral:rRNA from 1 species
UACGUAGGGUGCAAGCGUUGUCCGGAAUUAUUGGGCGUAAAGAGCCUGUAGGCGGUCUGUCGCGUCUGCUGUGAAAAAUCCGGGGCUCAACCCCGGACUUGCAGUGGGUACGGGCAGACUAGAGUGUGGUAGGGGAGACUGGAAUUCCUGGUGUAGCGGUGAAAUGCGCAGAUAUCAGGAGGAACACCGAUGGCGAAGGCAGGUCUCUGGGCCACUACUGACGCUGAGAAGCGAAAGCAUGGGGAGCGAACAGGAUUAGAU